GAGAGGGCUGGGAGGAGGCAACGACAUCUCCACACCAUCCCCACUUGAGCCAACCAUGUGGAAAAUUCUGGCUUGGCUCACUCAUGAGGUGGGAGUGAUGUGGGCAGAUACAUGUGGGUGCCAUAGAGGUGUGGGGGAAGAGCUGGCAGCGCAGACAGAAGACCCUCUGCAAGGUGACCUACACUGCUUUCAGGGGAAGGGGUGCUUGCACGAAGCAGAAGGCACAGAGCUUCUGGUGCCAUUCCUCCUCAGCAGGAGAGGAGCUGCUGGGGGAAAAAAAAAAGAGAACUUCUCCUUGCAGGGUGCUUUCCUCCCUCUAACAAGGUUCUUCCAGGUGCUGACAUAUGCAAAGACCCUUCCCUGGUUACAGGAGUAAAUACAAUUAGUGCAGCACAUUAUGCACUGCCUUCCUAUUUGUCGGUGCAUUCACCUCAGUGCAAGCAACACAAUGCCUGAGUGCCACUUACGUGCUACUGCCAACUCCAGCUGCCCCACGUACCCGAGUCAGACUUGAGGAGGCAUGCCUUAAAGAGCACAAGCACUGUGAGUAAAGCCUUCUGUAUGUGUCUGCAUUGUGUCACAGUCACAAGAUGAUCACUGUAUAGGAUAGAUCGUCGCUGUGUUCCCUGAUACCCCGAAGAUUGCACAGUUUAGUGGGAUCACUGCUCACUGUUAUGAAAACCUUCAGUCUCAAAGGAUGAUUCAGGGCCAAUUGCAGAGAGUGAGACCAAAGCACGGCUGGGAUUCCUGGAUUCAGUCUGCCUCCUGUGCCACAGCUGAUGUGCCCUCUGGUGAGAUGCAGUGUGGAAUGAUCCCAUGAUGUAGGUGAGGAUUUCGGAGGGGGUCUCCAGGGAACAGACAGUGACAUUGUUCUGUCUCAGCCUGCCCAGGAGCCGUUCCGCUGCACAGGUACAGUAUAUAGCAUGCUGGAUGUUAAUUCAAAUUUCAUGUACAUUUUGAAAGAGCUGAAUGUGGCCUUUGUGUAACGCUUUGGCUCACAAGGGCUUUUUCAUAAGAAAUUCUAUUUAAAUGGAAUAGAAAACUUUCUGAUAGUUACCAAACACCACAAAACAAUGGCAGGCUAUAUCUGUUCAUCAUCAUCAGCCAUUCAUUUAUCCUAGGAAGGAAUUUCUUGUUGAUAAUCCUGAGUGAAGGCUUGCUUGUUCGCAUGACUGGAUGAGAUCCAGGAACGAUAGCACCUUGCUGAAACCUUUAAGUGUCAAGCUGAAACUGCAUCAGAGAAAUAACGAAGCUGAGCCCCAGGAGUGCCACUGGACCCUGUAGCUUGUGCUGCCCUGCCCAGGCAGACUAGGAGCAUCUCGUCCAGAGGAAGAAAGGAGGAUGGAGGCCAGAAACAAGAGAUGUGGGAGGAAUCCAGACAGACAGAGACUAGCUCAGUAGAGCUAAGAUCUUCUUGGCUUGGCGGAUGCCUGACCCGCCAGGGGAUGGUGGAAGCAUUUUGAAAGAGCAGAAGAUCCAAAAGACUGUGAUGAAAACUUGAAGGAGCAUAAAUCUCUUUCCAGACUGCUCAUGAGCAGAACAGUAAAAGAUGUAUGUUGCAAAGGUAAUUCAAUGCAUGUCUCAAUUCCAGGGAAAAAGGUGCUCAAAGAUAAACUAUUCCUUAAAACUUCAACUAAGGGUUUCUAGAAUCAAAAAUAUUUUCGAAGAUUUUAGUGUAGUUGGAUGGGCAGCUUGUUCCAACCACCAGGAUGCUUUUAUGUGCAUUCAUGAAUAAAACCCACUUCCUCCAACCCUGCGACAACAGGGCAAUAAACGGGAACAUCUCUCCAGGGCCCUGCGUGGUCUGAGUCUGAAGCAGUGUUACUCAGCCUGAGAGCCAGACAGCAGCAAGGCCAAACAACACAAAGAGAAGGAGAAAUGGAGGGAGAAGGAAAAAAAAAAAAGAUAAAAUGCAUAGCGUUGGGCUUGAUGUUCCUUCAAUGGGAGUAUGAACUUUAUGGCUUUGCUGCACAAAACUGUUGGUGUUGUUCAAAGAGAAUAGGUGACCAGUGGACAAAGAUGCCCUUACCAACAGCUGUUAAUCAGCAACUCACAAGACUAGGAGCAGCCACAUGAGACUUACACAAAAGAAGAUCAGCCUGAAGUACAACCUGAAUCCACUGAUCCCAUUUCUGCUCUGUAUUUAACAGUACCAUUAUGGAGUACAUAAUUCAAUGUCUUCUGAAGCCAUGAGAAAUGUUUUCUACCUACGUGCUAAGACCAAUGGUGGUUGUAGAUCAAUCCCGAAGGACCAAAUCUAAACCAUUUACUUUGACUAGCCUACAGCAGGCCUGGACAAGAUUUUAGUAAUACAGUGCUUUAUAACAGUAAUUCUGUCUAAUGAAGAAGAGUCAUGAUGAAACUGCUUCAUGCUCUUAAAAUAUUCUCCAUUAUAUUACUCAUGCUCUUUGAAAUAUCUAUUAAUUUUUUCUUCUCCUCUUUUGAAUGUUUGACAGUGCAGUCACAGGCUGUUCCUUCUGUAGUGGAAAUUAAGAGACAGACCAGGUCUAUCCCUCAAGAGCCAGCAAUUGAACUACACCUGAAGUAAGAACAGCUGGAGUGGAAGGCAUCAGUCAUGCCAGAAGCCAUGCUGUGGGACAUCUGGUACCAAUGCACACAGCUAGAGGAUAGAAAAGCCAGGGGGAUUAUGCAUUGUCUCCUUUUUCUUCCUCUCCUCUCCUCUCCUCUCCUCUCCUCUCCUCUCCUCUCCUCUCCUCUCCUCUCCUCUCCUCUCCUCUCCUCUCCUCUCCUCUCCUCUCCUCUCCUCUCCUCUCCUCUCCUCUCCUCUCCUCUCCUCUCCUCUCCUCUCCUCUCCUCUCCUCUCCUCUCCUCUCCUCUCCUCUCCUCUCCUCUCCUCUCCUCUCCUCUCCUCUCCUCUAUUUCAUUCUGCAGAGCACAUGUAGCAUCAUAAACAAAGCAAGAAAAAAAAAAUGAAGUGCUGGUAAACAAGACUCCAGAUGGAAACCCCAUCUCAAAAACUGAGUUUGAGAGGAGAUCAAUGGUCUGUCUCUCAAAACUGAAGAGGGGAAUGAACAGCUAAGGACCCAGUAUCCUCCACCCCAGCUCUCCUGCCUGCAGCAAUUCUAAGGCAAGGUGAAUACUUUCCCCACAGGGAGUUGUCACUAUGAUGGCAUCAUAGGAAACAGCCACGACUUUCUGUAGGGCAGAGCUGUGCAGCCUUCAGAGAUAUUCUGAGAUGCUCUUGGCCUGAGACGGAACUUGUUGUGGGGAAUCACAGAAGGAAGGAGUUUCAGAGAAUCAUAGAAUCACUGAAUCAUAGAACCAUAGAAUUGUUAAGGUUGGAAAAGACCUUUAAGAUCAACUUGUUCAAUCUGUGAAUGUCAGAAGGCAGAUGGGGGUAGAUGCCACAGUACAUUUGCUGCAGUACCUAACUCAGAAACCUCUUUGGUGCUUGUUUGCUGAAAGCUGGAAGAACAUUUGAGUGUAAGGAUGACUCUGUUCUGGUCUAUAUCUGAUAUGCUCUCCGUAAGUAUUUCCUACGUGGCAGAAAAUAAUUACCAGAGUAAGUGAGCUUCCAGCCAGAUAUGAGGAACCUAAUAAAUUGUGAUGACUGUAGGAAGUAGCAGGGGAUGGCAAGAAGGUAACCAGUCCCCCUCUGACUCGCAAGGCAGAUCAGCUUGUUUCUGUACCACUUUCCCAGGGACCCUCGAUACCUCUCUUUCAUGAAAGAGGACAGCUCCCCAAAUAACCCCCUCAACAUCUCACACCCAUCCCUCGGCAGGAAUUAGCCUCCUUUCUUUACACAGUAAAAAUUGAUUCAGGUCUGUGUUAUCUUGCAUCUUGAAAACAGCCUCCUUUCCUUUGCCUUUGGCCACAUCUGCCUUAAUGCAGCUGGACCAUCUAGGUCAAUUAUCCCUAGUGGGAUCUCCAUUGUGAUUUCUUUUGACCAUCAUUUUACUGCAGUAUUGAACACAACCUUGUCUUUGUCCUAAAGGCCCAUCGUGGCUUAGUCACCUACUCAUUUUUCCUAGCAAACCUGUCUUCUAUUAUCACCUUCAUGCACUUCCUUGAUUGGAUAGUCAUUAACUUCCUCUACGGGUAGAGAGGUUUUCUCAAAACUCAUAUCAACUGCAAGAUGAAAUGGGAUAUAUUUGAACAACAAUUAUCCCAGUCUUUCCUUAAAAUGUCUUAUAUAAUCCUGUAGAACUUGUCAUUGCCACUGAUGCUUCUGUGUCAUGCUGUCUGCUGAGAGCCCUGUUAAAUAUUUACUGUUAUUCUUGCAGGUGAACAUCUCUCCUGAUACCUCCUGCAUUUCACUCACCUAUUAGUCUUGCCUCCUUACAGUAGAACAUCUCCCCCUUCCAACAGGUCCACAAGCAACAGAAACGUCAGCGUCUCAUGCUGUCAAAGGUUGCACAACGGUAAAAGUCAUGCCACUGUACACUGUUUUAAACCACAUGCUUUUUACAGUGUAUCUACACAGAUCUUUGAACAAGAGUGGGUCAUCUAGGUAUCCCUGCUAUCCAGGCAACAGCAUACAUGCAGCACCAGAAGAAGCCAACUCCAAGGCUGUAUGGGAAAGGAAUGGGUAGUAUAAGGGCCUCAAUCCAGCAGGUUCUGCUUUUCUCUCUCUCAGUUCUGCUAGUUGCCCUGUAAGUGAUGCUAAGGGCUAUCCUUUCUCAUCCAAGAACAGCUUACAGCCAUUUGGGAAAAACUUCUAUCAGCAGCUCUAUCCUCUGUCUGGUUUUCCUAAAGAAGAUACAGACGCCUUGGACUGGAUUAUCACAGCAGUGCAGGUGGGCAUGUUUUUCUGCCUAAACUUUACUGGCCCAUUGAAAGCUGCUCUGUGAUGAACCUAUACUGUUGGUGUGAAAAGCAAGGACUGCUCACACGGUGUGUCUCUGGGAACGUAGAAACCAGCAAGAAUUGUGGCUCCACUGCUCUGGUUCCCUGUGGAGCUGCUGGAGAGGCUCACUGCUCAGAUCUGGUUGUUGUUGGCCAUUGAGUGCCCCUACGUGGGAAAGCGGUGCUUCGAUAUUGUGGAAACUGCCUGUGGGAAGGUGUCGAUUCUCACAGCAUUUCGGAGAAGGCACAAGGCUUUCCAGCUUAUUGAAACGUUUGUUUUGACUUUUAUAAUAUAGUACAAAAGCCUUCAAGUUUUGUCUAUUAAAUUGCUGUGCCAAAAUAUUAUGACGGGUCACGGAAUAAUAGUCUUACUGUUUUGACUCUAAAGCGUGCUACGACAUGGGUCAAGCUGAUGAAAUCAAAAUGAAAUUACUGUUUUGUUUUGACAAGAUUGUGUUUCUUUUCCAUUUGUUUGAUAAAGUCAAAGCAAAGAUCUCCGUUGGAUUUUUCCGCAGUAUGGCCUCAACGUUUCAUUUUCUCAUUCAGGUGUGGGUUUUGAAUGGAACAUAAUGUUUUGUGCCCAGAUCAUAGAGGGAAAGAUGCAUGUGGGUAGCACCUCAGAGUCACAGUUCAGCCCCGAUUUUCUGAGGACUGUACCCAUUGCUUCGUCAGCUUUAGCAAAGAGAUCUUUGUGAAAGUUCAAUCUUGGCCUGCGGUGCUAGUGUCAUACUUUGAGCUAUGCCACCUUCUGCUGUUGUAGUUCCCAGUCACCCUCCCCUUCUGUUUAGCCACCUGGAACCCACUCCAGAAGCUGGCUGAGAAGAAGUAGCUCCUGAAAACUCAUCCUUUGUGACCUGCUGAGUCAGGAAGCCUCUAAAAUAUAGAAUAAAACUGUCCUUAGACCAUAGAGCCCAAUGGUACAGAUGUGCGGCAGCCAGUCUUGUCCAUCUCUCAUGCAUGUGGCAUCCCUGAAUCUAUUCCCAAACCUUGCCGCUCCCCUGUGAUGUUAGGAGAGUGCCCGUUCCUGCUUUCCCCUCCCAAGCUCUGUCUGGUUGGACUGGGGUGUUUCCCGGGCUGAAACUGUGGCUUGCCUAUAUUGUGUGCAAAGUACCUGGAGCAUGAUGGAGAUCUCACACUAUGCUUCUGGUGACAGACCUGACACAUACCUGAAGUGCCCGUUGGCCCGCAGCCAGUGGAAAGUUCCCUUUCUCACCUGGAUGCAGUCAGAGCGGUGGCCAUGUAAAAAAUGGCACCACCUCCCGCCAGGUGUGAGCGGCCGAGAACAGCACCUACCUGGCAAAGCAUUCGAGCGUGGAGACAUUUUCCCAAUGAUCUACGUCAACAGAUGACUGAAGGCUUGGUCUUAUAUCCCUGCACUGAGCUGGGCAGUGAGGCUCUUCCUGGACUAUGGCCUUGGACCUGCUUUUAGAACAGCCUCAGGACCCACCUUACUCAGUGGUAAAGGAUUCCCGUUCUGGCUCAGGCCUGAAGGCAAGUGGUUGAAGACAGUGUUAUCUUGCCAAUUUUUUUUUCUUUUGUUAUUUUCUCCAAUAACGAGAAACUUGUGGGGGAAGUUUUCUUUCUUUUCCAUUCCAUGGGAGUUUGGUAACUAGUCAAACUGCUAGGUCAGCAACAAUAUGUGCCAAGCCUAACCAGAAUCAGAGAGAGGCCAAACAUACUUGAAGAGGGAACUGAAGAGGGUGACAUCUGUUUGUGUCUAGGAUCCCCUCUGCCAACCAGAUAGAGGUGACCCUCUUCACCAGUCCCAUGGUUUUGCCAGUUCAUCAUCCUAAUAGAGAUCCGUGCAGAUGUUUUACAAGAAGGAAUGAUUUUCUUCAGAAAUUCCAAUGGGGAGGCUUCAGCUGUGAAGGCCUUUCUGUGCCUCUUAGAUGCCUAUGUUCUUUGUCUAGCAGAUACAGUGAUGAAUCCUGGGGAGAAGUAAACAGAAGAGAUAAAGUCUCUGAAGCCCGGAGCUUAUUUGGCUGGUGUCUGUUUAAAUGCCACACAACAAAGCUUUAUUAGCACAAAGCAGCAAGGUCUGCAUGUGGCCAGAAGUCUCUCCUGCCUGUUGUCUCUGCAUAGUCCAUGUACUCACUCCUUAUCCCUGGUUUAUACAGCUGGUCCGAAGACCACCCCAGGUAACAAAGAAAACAACAGCUCUUGAAAGAUCUGCUGGGAAUAGGAAGAUGUCGUAUUAUUUACCCGGCUGGAUUUAUGCAUGUGUGCAUGUGUUUAACAAGGAGACCGGUGCCUGCUGGACUCCUGAGGCUGGAAUUUAUACAGGCCAGCAUUUGGCUGCUGCAGUUUAUCUUGAAUGCUAGAAUAAUAAACUCAGCUGACAGGAUGAUGUAUGCAAAGCAUCUUCUCCUCCCACGGCGUGCGGUAGAGGUGUCUGGUUUGCAGGGAGUCCUAUUAUUAAGUGAUUAUCCUUGCAACAUUAUCAAUAUCAGAUUGCUUAAGGGCUUUGGGGGACCAGCAGUACAGUAGGACUUUAUGUUUAUCCAUCAUAAUGGCAGUCAGAUGCGGAGGGUGCUGUGAGAACAUUACCUGUGUAGGUGAAAUGGACGUAUGGGUUUGCCAAAUGGAGAGUCCAAAAUUUUUGCAAAAGAACACAAAGCUACACCUUUAUCAUUGUUAGUUUCAUUACGAGUUAACUUCUGCUGCAUUGCUUUAAUGUCCCUCAUUGCUUCUUCCUUUCUUGUCAGAUUAAUGGCUCUUGUUCAGAAAGAACAAAAACAAAAAGUCCCAAGCGCCACCGAAUAUGGUAUUUUCUUGACUUUUCAGGGAAGGCCAAUUUAUCCACCCCUAAUCACGUUUCAGCAUCCAGACAGCUGCAGACUCCUCCGUGUGAGUCUGCCAGUUCAGCUGGCGCUCUGGUACCUCAAGAAGACCAGGUCUUUGGAUCCUUUGUCAUACCCUGAAAGGAUGCCGAACAGACCAUAGAAUCAUUAAGGUUGGAAAGACCACUGAAUCAUCUAGUCCAACCACUGACCCAUGCCAAUGACCACACUAGACCAUGUCCCUCAGUGCCACAUCUACACUGUUCUUGAACACCUCCACGGACAGUGACUCCACCACCUCCCUGGGCAGCCUGUGCCACUGCCUCACCAUAGGAAACAUCACCUUGCUGUACUGGAUAUGUUUCACCCUGAAUAGCCUUCAAGACCCACAUCUUAAAAGGCAGAUCAAGCACUUCAGAGAACCUUACUAGCACCAGUGGUUUGUCUGUCUGCCUGUUGGUAUCAUCCCUGUCCUGCCCUACUGCUGCAUUGCUCCUCCACCUCCCCUCUGCUUGUGGCAUCCCUCAGCUGCGUGUCAGCCAAGAGCUGUCCUAAAGCUCUGCGAGCAACAAGUGACACCAGCAGGCAUUAAGCCUGAGCUCUAUCAGCAUGGUGUACGAUAUACCACUGCGGUGACUGGUAUUUUUGACGCCUUGUGAAGCCACACUUGAAACUGUAGCACCCCAGAAGGAUCGUUCGCUGACCUGUGCUGAUGCAAACAGCAACAGCAGAGACGCAUUAAGUCUGCAUACACAUCUACCAGGUAUAACGCUCUAUAUUGUUAGAUGUCACAAUCAUAGGAAGUAUAAAUACCACAUGCCCUGCAUGUGACACAGCUGCUCCACCUGUGCUUAAGCCCUGGACUGUGGCAGCAGGGAGGACAGCAGGCAACAGCAGCUGUGUUGCAGAUCUCACCUGCUUCCAGAGGGAGUGAACCUCAAAUUCUGCAUAUCCAGCUGACUGAGAAAAUACCUGCUGCCUGGAAGGUCCCCAGUGGACCAGGAAAAGAACCAGUCACUUGCACUCUAAACAACAUCAAAAAGUUCCACUGUGGCUGCCCAGGAGGCAAUCGGUCAUAUUGCUCUGGGUUCACUAGUUCACCUGAGACUGUCCUCCACAAAUAAAGGUAUACUGAUGCUCAGUCUGCU
ensembl:lncRNA